CCUAUUUUAUCUCUCUGAAAGUUUAUAGCAAUUCAGGCACAGAAAACAUACUUUAUUCACUUCUCUUAUGAGGAAAUUAUCAUACAAAGAUGGUUUUAAUAUGGCAUAAUACAUAAAUAUGCCCUUUAACUUGUCCUUAACUUAUAUCUAUGAUCUCCAACUUAGGAUGUGUACAAGUAGGAAGUCAAACUUGUUUAAAGUUGAACAAGUACACAAUGGAGACACGUUAAGUAGUUCAAAUUUACAUAGAAAUUAAGUUCACUCACCAAGGAUUUUAAGGUAGCGCACUAUUUUAUCCGUAUUAUCAAGGUGUCCAAUUUUUCAUCUAUACUCAAAAUAUUGUUUUUCCUAUAUUGCUCCAUGCUCGCAAAAGACGCUACCAUAUCCGUGUCCACUGUUACACAUUAGAGGAAUAGCUGAUAUAGUGUGUUUGAUUUAUUUUUCUGUUGAUUUAUACUUUUUGUACCAUCUUGGUACUAUUAUUAAUGAUGAAACCUUUGUCAUUUAAAUAAGAAAAAGCCUGAACAGGGAAUACCAUACAUUCAACAAAUAUUUGUCACAAAUUGUUGUGUUAGCCAAGUUUUGCCUAGGAGAAUUGUGGUUGUCUUUUGUGGCUGAAUUACUUUUACGCUUAACCAUCUUUACAUGCUCUACUGACCUACUCUGCCAUGUCUAAUGCAGAGAAUAAAAAUUUGAAUACUAUGUGAUUUUUAUAAUCAUUUAAAGAUAAUAUAUACAGACUGAAGAUGUUGAUUCUAGCGCUAACUGGGAUAGAAUUGGGUCAUAUCUUUGUUCCUAUGGUUAGAAUAGAGCAUAUUCUUCUUAUUGAAUUCCUGUUAUUUAUUUUUGUUGGGUGUUUGGUAUGCCAACUAUUUAUAUCGUUUUUCUUUCCGAGUAAAGUUACAAAUUGGUCUUUCUGUUAUUUGUUUAUGAAGAUUGGUUAAUGUUGAUUUUUUCUGUAUUUUUUACUAUGUUGAUGUGUGUGUGUGUGUGUGUUCCUGGAUGUAGUUAAAGAUUGGGUUGUCUUGAUGUUUUUGGUUGCUUGUGUUGCUAAAAAUUGAUUUUUAUGUGUUACUCUGUUACUUUGUGUGUAUUCAUUUUGCUAUGACCUUUCUGGAUAUAGUUGAAGAUUAAAUUGUGUUGGAUGACUUUUGUUUGUUCUGUUGCUGAGAAUUGAGUUUUUCAACUGUGGGGUGUUUCUUAAGGGAGUUGAAUAGUUGGACGUGUGAUUACAGAUUGAAUAUUUUUGUUGCUUUUUUGUUUCUGGGUGCUAAUCUAAAUACUAAUCCUUCUCAAUUUUAUGCAACAGGUUUAACUAUAUAAUUAUGCAUCUCAACUCUCAAGCUAAGGAUGCAUUGCUUUUUGUUAUCUAUGUAAAUAAAAUGUAUACAACUCCUUGUAAAACUUGACUCCUUGACAACUAUCAUAAAGUAAAUAGUUUGUUUUACAUAAUGAUGCAUUGCAAUUGAUUUUUCUUUACAUGCACCAUGUUGGGCCCGUGCUAACAUGGGCCCCUUCCCCCUACUUAGUAGAUAUUGUCGGGUAAGUAGUGCAAUUACAAAAAGGGGAAGUUUAAAAAAUAGCAAUAGUUUGGUACAAAAUUCAUCUUUCAUAGUCAUACUUUACAAUAUUAUCAUUUAUAGCUGAUGUAUUCAAUUUGUAUCCAAUAUUUUCUUUUACUCAAUAGUUUGUAUUCAUAUAAAAUAUAAAUACAUUAAUCACAUUUUAUAUUUUAGUUUUUUUUAUUUUUGAAAAAUUUGACUACAUCGAAUACAAGUCAUGGAUGAUGACGAAAACAUCAUGACCGCACAUUGUAUUUGUAUUUACCAUCAUUUUUUUAUUUGCCGAAAUGAUUUUGUGGACCUUUGUACUUGUCCGAAUUUGUAAAGUGAAUACCUUUACUUAGACUUUUGUUAUUUGAACUCCUCAACUCAAUAAAACUCUAACAUUUUAAACCUUUUUGAUGCAUAUGUGGCAUUAGGUUGUUGAUUUGGAAAACACGUGUUUGCACGUAUUUUUUUGUGCGCGUGAAAUUUACAAAAAUAUUUAAAAUAUUUAUUAAAAUUAAAAAAUACUAAUAAAUAUUUUUAAAAUAUCCCUUUCUCCCUCACCCCUCCCCCAUNNNNNNNNNNNNNNNNNNNNNNNNNNNNCUCCCCUAUCUCCCCCCCCCCCUCAAAAAAAAAUUCUUUUUUUUCUCACCCCCACCUCGUCUCCCCCACUCCCCUCCAAUUUUUUUUCUUCUUCUUUUUCACCCUCCACCCCAUCUCCCCCACCCCCUCCAAUUUUUUUUCUUCUUUUUUCUCACCCCUACCCCAUCUCUCCCACCCCAUCAUCACCACCCUAUCCCACCACACUUUUUUUAGCCCCCACCCCCACUAGACCCAAAAGAAAAAAAACAAUCUAUUUUUCUUCUAUGAAAUUUCUUCCCCUUUGUUUGAGAUUUACUUUUUUAUUUUUUUUGCAAAUUAAUUUCUCAAUUCAAACUUUUUCAUAUUCUUUUAGAAUUAAAUUUAAACUUGAGUCGAAAGUAAAUGAUAGUGGAUAUUGAAAAAUUAAUAAACUCCAUGCAUAAGCUUGAAGUUCAAGUUUGAAGAGAAAUAAAUGGAUUUUUGUGAUUUCUCAAAGCUAUUCAAAAUUAAAAAUUGAAAAAUUUAUUGUGUUUGUGUAUUUGAAUUUAUAGUUGAAAAUUUAAAAUAAUUGAAUAGGAAUUUCAACUAUUUGGAAUGAAAUUAAAAAAAAAAUAUAAUUUGUAAAAGUUGUUUAUUUAAUUAAAUUUAUUUUAAUAUUUAAUUUCUUAUGUGGCAUUUUAAAAAUGACAUGGAAUUUAAUGCAACAUUUAAAAAUGACGUGAAAGCAAUUGUGUUACACACACCAAAAUAGGGUUUAAAAUAUUGAGUUUUAUUGAGUUGAGGGGUUCAGAUGGCAAAAGUCUAAGUAAGUGUUUACUUUACAAACUUGGACAAGUACAAGGGUUUAUCAGACCAUGCCUUUUUAUUUUAUUUUUUUCUCUUUUUUGAUUUUUUUACUUUUUGUUUUUUUUUCCUAUUUUCGUUUUCUUUUUUCUUUUUCGAUUCUUUCUUUCAUUUUUUGUAUCUUUUAUUCGUGCUUUUUCUUUUUUUCUUCUUUUCUUUUAUGUUUUUGUUUUUUUUCCUUUAUUGUUUCUCUUUUUUCAUUCUUUUUUUAUCUCUAUCUUCUAUUUUUCUUUCUUAUUUUUGUUCCUUUUUUCUUUUUGAUUUUCUUUUUUGUACCUUUUUUCUAUCUUAUAUUUUUUGUAUUUUCAAAAAAUAUGAUUACUCGAGUACAGGUCAUGAAUAAUAACAAAAAUACCACAAUUGCUUAUCAUAUUUGUAUUCACAUCAUCAUUUAUAUUUUUGUAUUCAUUGAUACAAUUAUAUUUAUAUUUGCAUUUUAUAGUUCGCACUUGUUUUUGUAUAUAUAUUAUAGUUCACAUUUAUACUUAUAUUUUAUAGUUCACACUUGUAUUUGUAUGUUAUAGUUCAUAUUUAUAUUUGCAUUUUAUAGUUUGCAUUUGUAUUUGUAUGUUAUAGUUCACAUUUGUAUUUAUAUUUUAUAGUUUGCACUUGUAUUUGUGUUUGCUAGUUCGCACCAUCAUUUAUAUUUUAUACAAUUUACACUUGUAUUUUGAAGAAUUAUUUUGUAUUAUUUGUGUUUUAUAAUUAACUGGACAUUGUAUUUAUAUUUUAUGAUUUCAUUUUAUUUGUAUUUGUGUAUUAUUUUAAUUAUUACACUUUUAUUUUAAAGAACUAUUUUGUAUUUAUAUUUAUAAGUUGACCGAAUAUUGUAUUUUUAUUUAUAAUUUAAUUUGUUUCAUUUUUUGUAUUUGAAUUUGUAGGUUAUUUUUAAACAAUUGUAACAAAAAAUAUUUUCUUUCUAUGAACACUUGUAUUUAUAAAAUGAUAAAUUAUACAAAUGUUAUAUUUGCAUCAAAUGAUACACGUUUAUACAACUUGAACCGUACGCAUACAAAAUGGCACUUGCUUAUAUACAAAUACCAAUGAUAAAUUUGAAAUAUAAAUACUAACAUAACAUUUGCAUGAAUGACACAUUGUAUAUGUAUAUAUUUAAGACCCAAACAAAUACAAUUAAUUCAUAUACUUUUUGUAUACAAAUAUAAAUGAUAAAUUAUACAUAUUCAUGAUUAAAUUAUUCAACUACAAAUAGUAAAUUUAUCUAAAAUAUAUAGUAUGUGAAGGAAUAAAAUUGAUAGGAAAGAGAUAGCUGAAAUUUUUCUCUCUAUGUAUUCUCUGCACUGUAAAUGUAUAUAUAGGAGAUACAAGGAAUAGAUGAUUGUGAGAGGUACCCGAGAGUGGUUUAGAAAAGAGAUCGGCCACCUGUGAUGAGGAAGGAAGAAAGGACAAAGAAAUCAAACCAUCAAGACACUGUUGUCAAACGAAGUGACAAUCUAAGUCAACAUGCUUCAUCCACUCAUGAAAGACGAGAGUUUUAGUGAUAUGAAUGGCAGCUUAACUGUCUGAAAAAGAAAUCAAACCAUCAAGACACUGUUGUCAGACGAAGUGACAAUCUAAGUCAACAUGCUUCAUCUACUCAUGAAAGACAAGAUUUUUAGUGAUAUGAAUGGCGGCUUACCUGUCUGAAUGGAGAGAAAUAGGUAAAGAAGAUAGAAAGGCGAGGUCUGAAAGAAAAUGGACAAGCUAUGUCAAUUCAGUAAUAACACGACACAUAGAUCUGUAUUCUGCCUCGGCAGAGGAAAGAGAAAGAAUGGUUAUUUUUUCAAUUUCAAAGAAAUAGGACUCCCGCUAAGGCUGAUGUAGAAACCACUCACUGAGCAUCGAGAAUCAAGGAAAAUACCCAAUCGGAGUUACAAAAAGCCAAUAAAUUAAGCGAUGGGAAGGAAUUGAGAAAAAUUCCCAAACCAGGAUCUGACAGAAGAUAAUGUAGGACAUGGUGAGCAGCUAAAAAUGUGGUUAUUGAGGUUGUUACAUAUAUUGACUGAGGUGUUGCACGGAGAAAGCAAUAUCUGGUCAUAUAUGGGUAAUAAAAUUCAAUUGUCCAUCAAGCAGCGAUAUACUAUGGGAUCAACAAGUGGACCAACCAUAUCAACCCAAAGCUUUUGUUUGGGAUCUAGAGGUGAAGAUGCAGGUUUGUGUGGGAUCUAGAGGUGAAGAUCCCAAGUGUCAUUAGUGAUCAAAGCCUCAAGUUAUUUAGUUAUAGCAUCCUGCCAACCGGGGUAUAAAAUAACUUGGAAAAAAGAGGUAGGUUUUUGAAUAUUGGAUAAUAAAGUGACGUAAUCUUUAUUAGACUAUGAUAAAGCAGAAAAAACAAAAGGAGAAACUGAUGUAGGACAAGAGAAACAAGUAUCAGACACAUUGGAAAGAACAACACUAUUACAAAUAAAGUCUUCUAAGUAUGCAGGAGUUUUAAUAGACCUUGUAGAUCUUCUCAAAACAGUGGUACUGGGAAUAGAAUCAGGAAGAAUUGGUGCAUUAUCCUCAUGAAUUUGAGGAUCGGGAAUAGGAAUGUGUGGAUGUGAUGGAGUAGAUGUACUAAAUGAUAGAUCAUCCUCCAAUGAGAUAGGAAAAUCAAAAUGAAAAAUAGGUACAGUAGACUGAAUAAUGGAAAAAGGAUACACACUUUCAUCAAACUUAACAUUCCUGGAAACAAAACACUUUUGAGAUUUUAGACUUAACAAUUUGUUACCUUUUUUUUUUCAAAAGAGUACCCAAGAAAAACAUAAGGCUUAGAUUUAGGUACUAUUUAGAUCUUCCUUGAGAGAGAGUAAAUUCAUAAAUAAGACAACCAAAACUUCUUAAAUGAGAAUAGGUAGGAGAGUGAUUGAAUAAUCUUUCAUAAGGUGUUUUGAAAGAGAAAAGUUAAGUAGGGCAUCUGUUAAUCAAAUAAGUUGCAGUCAUGAUUGCAUCCCCCUAAAACUUGUGUGAAAGGUGAGAUUAAAAAAGUAAAGCCCUGCAAACCUCCAAUAAGUGUUUAUGUUUUCUUUCAACUACACUAUUUUAUUGUGGUGUUGUGACACAAGAAGUUUGAUGGGAUGAUCCCUUGGGAAGAUAAAAACUUAGAAAUUUUAGAACUAGAACCCAAUUCCCACGUAUUAGCUAAUCUAAUAAUUUUAACUUUCUUAUUGAAUUGCCUCUCUAUCAUAGCAAGGAAAGACUUAAGAAUAGUGAAAGCAUUGCUUUUGGUAGAUAAUAAAAAAGUCCAAGUACCCCUACUAAAAUCAUCCACUAUGGUUAAGAAAUACUCAUAACCAUCAUAAGUAGGAGUUUGAUAAGGACCCCAAGUGUCAAUAUGAAUCAAAUCAAAAAUUUGUUUACUAUUAAUCUCACUAGUUGGAAAAGAAAGUUUGUGUUGUAUUCCCAAUGGACAAAUAGAAGAUGGAAUUGAAAAUUUAGAGCAAAUAGAAAUUAGAAUUUUAUUGAUAUGUUGAAUAUUUGAAAGGGGCAUAUGACUUAAUCUUACAUGCCAUAAUUUGCUCUCAACAUAAUUAAUUAAAAUACAAGAUACACUGGAUGCAACAUCCUUGAAGGAAUUGAAACUAGAACUAGACUUUCUAAAAGAAGUGACUACUGGGAUUGUUGGGGAUUUGUUCUUCAGAAAAUAGAGACCAUUUUUGCUUUCACCAAGGAGCAUUGGGCUCUUCAUUGAAGACCCUGUAUGAAAUAAUAAGAUAAAGUAAAGGAAAUUAUGUUAGAAAGUUGUACACACAACUUAUGGACAAAUAACAGAUUAAAGUGAAAACUAGGCACAAAUAGGACAUUGUGAAUGAUUAAAUUGGGAAAAAGCCUGACUGACCCUGAAUAUAAGACCCUAACCUUCUGGGAAUUAGGUAAAUUUACACAAAUAGACAUAGGAAGAGGUGUAAAAUUAAAGAAGAAAUUCCUAUUAUAGCGCACAUGCUCACUUGAACCAGAAUCAAUUAUCUAAGUAUUUUUGCUAUAAGCUCUAGAAUCUACAUGGAAGUUUAAAGAAAAUGGACUAGGACAAAGUGAUAUACCAAAACAAUUGACAGAGGCUAUGACUUUAGAAUUAUUAUUGCUUUGUUCAUUGUUCUUCACUUGUUGAAGUAUCUGCUCACCUGUGCUAAUUGCUCUAUUGUAAGAAGCUUUCCAUGGUCUAUAGGAUCUACAUCAUGUAUAUAAAAAUCUCCAAAAAUCUUUUUAGAUGACACUGCAUCUCCUUGAGCAUUAUUUUGAAAAAUUUUCUGCCUGGUGAACUUAAAAUUUGAUGGAAAUCCAUGUAUCUUAUAUCACUUCUCAAAGGUGUGAUCGGGUUUCUUAUAAUACUUUCAUAAGAUAGCAGACUUUCUAGUAUCAUAAGAAUUCUUUUAUGCCCUAAAAUUAGUAGAGAAAGUCUUUUGACCAGCAUUAGCUUGAUUAGCUACUAUAAAAGAAGAAGUUUCUCCAGGAAACUUAUAGAUGUUAACCCAUUUUCGCUGCUUUUCUUCUUAACUUAAAAGUGCAUAAGCACUUGAAAUAAAGUGUAAUGGAGAAAUCAUCAAAAUAUUACCUCUGGGAGCACAAUAAGAGUCAUUAAGGCCCAUUAAAAAUUAAACCAGGCGUCAUCUUGUUUGGACUUAAUGUUUUUCUCUUUUGCUCCACAAGAACAAUCAUAAGUGCAAACAGUGAAGGUAUCUAAAGUAUCCAGCUCAUCCCAAAGGUGUUUGAUGUUAGUGUAGUAAGUUGAAAUAUCAGAUGAACCUUAAACAAGGUCACUAAGCUGUUUUUGGAUCUGGAAUAGUCAUGGCCCAGAACUUUGGCCAAACCUAUCCUACAACUCAACCUAAAUAUAUUUAGCAGUAGCAUGAUACAAACACUCUCAGAAAUUUCACGAGAAAGGGAAUUGAGUUUCCAAGAGAUUACCAUAUUAUUAGAUCUAGACCAAGCUCUAUGGAGAUCCGUCCCAGAUGCAGGCUCUUUGGCUGAUCCAUCAACAAAACCAGAUUUGUUCUUAGUAGUCAAGGCUAUCCACAUAGCUCAUUUCCAACCACCAAAGCUCUUGCCAUCAAAGAUUGAAUUUACCAACAUAGUUCCUAGGGAAUCAGUAGGAGACAAGAAAAAAGGGUGAUCUAGAUUACUUGAUUUAAUGGGAGCUGGAGUUCUAACAGUUGUUUCACUGCUAGAUGAUAUGACUGGAAAAAAAAAUAAAGAGAGUAGGUAUCAAUACCACUACUCUGAUACCAUGAAGAAAUAAAAUUGAUAGGAAAGAGAUAGCUGAAAUUUUUCUCUCUAUAUAUUCUCUGCAUAGUAAAUGUAUAUAUAAGAAAUACAAGGAAUCAAUAUUCUAACUAACUGUUACAGUUGUCCUAUUCCUAUUUGCUAAGCCUAUAACAAACUUAUUAUUUACAUAUGAUAAAAAUAGAAAAUGAAAAUAGACAUUUACAUGAAAGGGAAAAAAUAAAACAAGGAAGCUUCUGGAUUGAGGCUAGCUGUUUGGCCAUGUGUCUCUAUCAUAUUGGAAGAAUAAGAAGGUUCCAUCUUUAAUUUCACUUUACUCUUUCAGUUUUCUAGUGUUCAUAUCCAAAAAAUUUAUAUUCUCCACAUCAAGAACUUCUGUUCUUCAUCUUCUUUGAUGAGCCAUUAUAGCUAUGCUUUCUAUAACUCCAAUAGUAUGACAAAUAAAUAUAAAAUAUGUAAUACAAAAAUAACAAAAAAAAUGAGAGAAAAAAAUAUAAAAAGAAAGAAAAAAAGGAAACAAAAAAGAAAAAGAAAAAAUUGAAAAGAAAAAAACGAAAAAGAAAAAAGAAAGAAAAGAUGAAAAAAAGAAAAAGAAAAAUAAAGAAAAGAACUGGGAAAAAAAGAGAAAUAGAAAAUAGAGAAAGAGAGAAAAUAAAUGAAAGAGGCUAUGAAUUAUAAUUAGGAAUAACUAAUAGGCAAGAGGGGUCUAUGGAUUGUAAUUAAUUGAAACCGAGGCUAUAUAAAUAAUUAGGAGUCUAUAUUUACUAAGCCAUGUAGUUAUCUCAUAAAAAAUAAAGCUUUGAUGAGUCCGUCAUUAACUCGACAAAGAUUUAAGAGCCAAAAUUUAACUUAUAUGCUCUUAUCAUGUAAAGAGUCUUUGCACUCUAGUGUAGUUUUACUGUUCUUGUAGGUUACUGUUUGUUUUCGCAAGUACUAACUCAACUUAUUAUGGAUAGCUAGUUGUAGUUAUAUUUCAGGCGAUCUAAUUGUGUAAAAAAAUAUUUGAUUAUAAAACUCAUAAACCAUCCAUAGCAGUCAUGUAAGUAUGAGACUUUUCAUACUUGGAAGGACAUUGAAAUUAGUCAGGUUUUUGUAGUACUCCCUUCUUUGCUUUUAGUUGUCACAUAUUUUCUAAUUGUAUUUUUAUUUUUACUUGUCAUUUUUGACAUAUCAAGAAAAGACAACUUUUAUCUUAUUUUGCCCUCAAUAUUAAUUAUUUUUUCUCCAAAUUAAUUUCAGCACACAAUACAAACAUCAUUUAAUAAGGGUACUAUCAUAAAAUAAUGAUAUUAUUACUUAUUUUUUUAAUGAGUGUGUUAAGUUAAAAUGUGACAAGUAAAAACGUACGAAUGAAGUAGUAAGAAUGCAUUUAAUAGGGUAAUUAAUAGGAUUUUAAUAAGCUUUAAGAAGGCAUAUUUUGUGGAUUUUGUAUUUGAUAUUUAGCUAUAAAUAGGUCUUACUUUGAUGUUAAAAGGGCAUUUGAAGUUAAUUCUGACACUUGCAUUUGAAAACAUUUUCAAAGCUUUCAAGUUCUUGUGUUCUUUGAAGGUAUCUAAAGUAUCCAGCUCAUCCCAAAGGUGUUUGAUGUUAGUGUAGUAAGUUGAAAUAUCAGAUGAACCUUAAACAAGGUCACUAAGCUGUUUUUGGAUCUGGAAUAGUCAUGGCCCAGAACUUUGGCCAAACCUAUCCUACAACUCAACCUAAAUAUAUUUAGCAGUAGCAUGAUACAAACACUCUCAGAAAUUUCACGAGAAAGGGAAUUGAGUUUCCAAGAGAUUACCAUAUUAUUAGAUCUAGACCAAGCUCUAUGGAGAUCCGUCCCAGAUGCAGGCUCUUUGGCUGAUCCAUCAACAAAACCAGAUUUGUUCUUAGUAGUCAAGGCUAUCCACAUAGCUCAUUUCCAACCACCAAAGCUCUUGCCAUCAAAGAUUGAAUUUACCAACAUAGUUCCUAGGGAAUCAGUAGGAGACAAGAAAAAAGGGUGAUCUAGAUUACUUGAUUUAAUGGGAGCUGGAGUUCUAACAGUUGUUUCACUGCUAGAUGAUAUGACUGGAAAAAAAAAUAACGAGAGUAGGUAUCAAUACCACUACUCUGAUACCAUGAAGAAAUAAAAUUGAUAGGAAAGAGAUAGCUGAAAUUUUUCUCUCUAUAUAUUCUCUGCAUAGUAAAUGUAUAUAUAAGAAAUACAAGGAAUCAAUAUUCUAACUAACUGUUACAGUUGUCCUAUUCCUAUUUGCUAAGCCUAUAACAAACUUAUUAUUUACAUAUGAUAAAAAUAGAAAAUGAAAAUAGACAUUUACAUGAAAGGGAAAAAAUAAAACAAGGAAGCUUCUGGAUUGAGGCUAGCUGUUUGGCCAUGUGUCUCUAUCAUAUUGGAAGAAUAAGAAGGUUCCAUCUUUAAUUUCACUUUACUCUUUCAGUUUUCUAGUGUUCAUAUCCAAAAAAUUUAUAUUCUCCACAUCAAGAACUUCUGUUCUUCAUCUUCUUUGAUGAGCCAUUAUAGCUAUGCUUUCUAUAACUCCAAUAGUAUGACAAAUAAAUAUAAAAUAUGUAAUACAAAAAUAACAAAAAAAAUGAGAGAAAAAAAUAUAAAAAGAAAGAAAAAAAGGAAACAAAAAAGAAAAAGAAAAAAUUGAAAAGAAAAAAACGAAAAAGAAAAAAGAAAGAAAAGAUGAAAAAAAGAAAAAGAAAAAUAAAGAAAAGAACUGGGAAAAAAAGAGAAAUAGAAAAUAGAGAAAGAGAGAAAAUAAAUGAAAGAGGCUAUGAAUUAUAAUUAGGAAUAACUAAUAGGCAAGAGGGGUCUAUGGAUUGUAAUUAAUUGAAACCGAGGCUAUAUAAAUAAUUAGGAGUCUAUAUUUACUAAGCCAUGUAGUUAUCUCAUAAAAAAUAAAGCUUUGAUGAGUCCGUCAUUAACUCGACAAAGAUUUAAGAGCCAAAAUUUAACUUAUAUGCUCUUAUCAUGUAAAGAGUCUUUGCACUCUAGUGUAGUUUUACUGUUCUUGUAGGUUACUGUUUGUUUUCGCAAGUACUAACUCAACUUAUUAUGGAUAGCUAGUUGUAGUUAUAUUUCAGGCGAUCUAAUUGUGUAAAAAAAUAUUUGAUUAUAAAACUCAUAAACCAUCCAUAGCAGUCAUGUAAGUAUGAGACUUUUCAUACUUGGAAGGACAUUGAAAUUAGUCAGGUUUUUGUAGUACUCCCUUCUUUGCUUUUAGUUGUCACAUAUUUUCUAAUUGUAUUUUUAUUUUUACUUGUCAUUUUUGACAUAUCAAGAAAAGACAACUUUUAUCUUAUUUUGCCCUCAAUAUUAAUUAUUUUUUCUCCAAAUUAAUUUCAGCACACAAUACAAACAUCAUUUAAUAAGGGUACUAUCAUAAAAUAAUGAUAUUAUUACUUAUUUUUUUAAUGAGUGUGUUAAGUUAAAAUGUGACAAGUAAAAACGUACGAAUGAAGUAGUAAGAAUGCAUUUAAUAGGGUAAUUAAUAGGAUUUUAAUAAGCUUUAAGAAGGCAUAUUUUGUGGAUUUUGUAUUUGAUAUUUAGCUAUAAAUAGGUCUUACUUUGAUGUUAAAAGGGCAUUUGAAGUUAAUUCUGACACUUGCAUUUGAAAACAUUUUCAAAGCUUUCAAGUUCUUGUGUUCUUAACAUUCAAUAUUACAACUCCCGAAAUCGUUGCCAAACAACUUCCUCAGAGCUCAAGACAACACAAUUUUAUGUUUCGAUUCACAUUGCUUAAUUAUCUGUUUUACUGUUUACUAUUUCUUACAAGUUAAUUCAUUAUAAUAUCAUCACUUGGUCAUUUCUACUUGCAUGUUUUAAAUCAAGUGUAUAUUCAAUUGUACCAUUUUAAGGGUAACAAGAGGUUUCUAUCAAAUUUAACCUUUUUGUUUGAAUUUUCACUAUAAACAUCAAGAUUGUUUAAUGCAAGAUAUAAAAAAAUUUCUUAGUUUGCAACUUAUAGCAAAUUUUAGUAUACAAAGGGGAAAGAAAACAUUUUUUGUUUUAACUGAAAAAAUAAAAAACAAUUGAUAUAUAAGGAUGGCAGCCACUAACUCCUAUUUAUUUGUGUCUUAAAAUAAAAUAGUUAGUGAUGGUAGAAAUGGAUGUAACUCUUGUAACUUUCACUCUUUAUUCUUCCAUUACCCUACUCUUUAUGUGGUGUAACUCAUGUAACUCUUGUAACUCAUGAAACCUCUAAGCCAUUGAUCUUCCCUCUUUACUACCAUCAUUCAUUCUUCCUAUUCAUUGCAUGAAAGAGUUCUUUACCUAUAAAUAGAAGUGGUCUUGCAUGGUGUUGGAGACAUAAGAUAUUAUAGAGUUCACAAAAAAAGUUAGUAAAAAAGAGAGUUUAUUAGUUGAAGGGAGGUGUUCUUUUUGUGGAGCUUUGAACUCAACUCUUAUCCAGAGUUGUUGAGCUAUUGUGAGAAUGCUAUUGUAUCUUGGAGAGGACAAGUCAAAAAUAUUACUGUUGGACUGGUGAAAUAUUUUACUGCAGUGGGCUUGAAUCUCCUUAAAGAGAGGGAGAUAUCCGCACCUUAGCCGAAGAAGAAGAAGAUAGUCUUUUUUAUUUUCUGCACUUAUAAUUUUCAGUUGUAUUUUUUAUUGUAAUUUCAACAACACAUACAGAUUUACACAUUUUAAUUUAAAAAGGUAGAUGAAAUGUAGUAUAUGAUUUUUGUUGGUAUAGAUGAAUAUUUUUUUUGUUUUAAAAUCAUAAACAAAUUUGAAAAAUAAACAAAAUCUUGUGUUUAUAUAAGUAUCAAUUAUCAUGUUGUUUUCUAUAUUGUAUUUUUUAUGUAUGAAUAUUUGUAUGCUUAUUGCUUUUUGGUAAAACUUUGUGUUGUACAUUAUGUAAAAGUUAAAUUCGUAUAUAAUCUAUAUGGAUAAUGCUAUAUGUUUUUUUAUUUUUGAUUAUUUCUCAACUAAAAAUAAGUAUCUUUUUAUAUUGUAUUCAAUAGGUAUAGAUAUUGUAUGUUCAAUGUCUUCUGAUUGUUUCUUAUUUAAAAUUCAAUAACUAUUAUCUUAUCUUUUUAAAAUGUUAUAUUGUUACAAAUAAAGUAUUAAAGAAGGUAUUAAUAUAUAAAAUUAAUAUGUAAGAUACUAUAUACAAAUAAUGUAUUCUUAUUAAUGAAUUUAGUGUAUGAAAAAGGAGUAAAGUUUGAUUAGUGUGAUUUAAUUUAACAAAUUAUGUUUAAAUCACUUUAUUAAUAUGUCUCUUUCACCAAGUGAUAUUCUUUACUGAUAUCUCAUUGUAUGUAAUUCAUAUUAAAAAUAGUAUAAGAUAACUUAUCAUGAGAAUUUAUAUGUAAAAUGACAAUCACUUAAUUUAUAGGCAUUACAUACCGUAACUAUUUAUCUUUAAAGAGGUGUAGUACAUUUUACAUCUAUGAAAUUUAUUUACAAUAUAAUAUCUUUACAUUAUUUUGAACAAUUGAGUUUAAAUCUAUUAGUAUAACAAUGUAAUACCAAAUAAUUUUUAUUUUUGGGUUUCAAUCUAUGAAAUUGAUAUGUGAAAUGCUAACCUUAGAUGAUUUAUUCUUAUUAAUGUUUUUAGUGUAUGAAAAUAGUACAAAAUUUGAUAUCCAUGAUUUAGUCUAACCAACGCUAUCAAUGCAUAUGCUUCAUACAAAAUCUGAUUCCUCUUAACAUGAUUCAUUUAACCAUAAAAUCAACGCAUAAGUAGUACAUAUAAUGAAAUUCAAGCAAAAAAAACUUGAUAUAAAAAACAACAUUCAUUCCCUAAAAAGCUUGAUAAAGAAAAUUCUACAAUCGUUUGAGAUAUGUCAAGGUUUAUACAGAAACAAUACCCUGAAAAGUUUAAUAUUUUGUUAUGCAGAUGAACAAAAAAAUAAUGAGUAUAAUUAAAAAGAAGAAAUGUGUGAGAAUAGGCAAAAAAUGUUGUUACAAUAAAAUUAUUUUAGAAAAACGUGUAACUUUUUUAAAAAGGUAAGAAUUAUAAUAAAUAAAGAUAUAUGAUAUUGACCAUAUUUUACUCCUACCAUAAUUAUCAAUACAUUUAUUUAGAAGACAUUUAAUACUAAACCCUACAAAAAAAGGAGUUAAGUAUAGUUUAAAAUAUUUAAAAAAAAUAAAAUAUAUUAGUUUUUUUAAAAGUUUCUACAACUUACAAUUAAAACCUUAAUAAAAUAACUAUCUAAAAGUGUUGUUACAACUUGCAAUAAACAAUCUAAUAGAUGUCUAGGAGAUAAUUUUCUCUUUUUUCUAUACAAUGAAAUCAACAUGAAUAGUUGACCCACAAGUGGACGUUUUAAACCUAGAUAUAAAAUCAUCUAGGGAGUGCCCAAUUGUUAUGGACGUUUGCUAUAUAGUUGUCACCCUAUGGAAUUUAAAAUCAUCUAGAGAGUGCCUAAUUGUUGUAGAUAUUUGUUAUAUAGUUGUUACCCCAUGAAACUUAACGUACGCUCAAGUAUUACAGUAAUUACAUGUUUAAUCUGUCGUUAAUAUAUAUGAACAAUUUGAGUCAUUAUUCUUCUCAAAGAAGCAAGCGUUGGCAUAGUCAAUUAUAAAAAAUAAAAGCUUUUGAUGGAAAAAAUUAGUCAUUAGAACUCGAAAGUGGGAGCUAACAAUAAGCAGUCUUACUAAGAGUAAGGAAGCUUAUUUUGUAAUUAGAAUAACGAUGCAAUUAUUUGACACUAUUCAAAUUGAAUUAUUCAUUUCUAAAGUUUAUUAAUCUAUUUGUUAGUAUAGGUUCUUUUUUUACGUCUAGCUUUAAAUUCUUGCAUUUUCCAUAUUAUCUAGCUAAACUAUAUGACCCAUAGUUAAGUUGUCUGUUAAGUGCUGAUAAUUGUAUUUAUAAGAUUCUUUUUCUAAGGAUUUCUCAUAAUUCUGCUAUAUUAUUAGAAGAACCUUCAUAUUAUAAUAAAAUUCGUUCCUCAGGCAUAUGUGUUAUGCCAUCUAUCACUACUGUUUUCUUUCUUAAUAUCAUUUUAUUAUUUUUGUUGAUAUAGGUCAAAAUAUAAUUGAGAUGUCUCAAGAUUCCAAUAGAUAUUUGUAUCUAUGUAGAUUUGAAGGUCUUGAUGCGAUAUAUCAAUAUUUCAAUUCUUGAAGCAGUUGACUCUUUAUAGUGGAUUCAUUUCUUUUUUUAGAGCUCCGUAGAUCCUAUUCCACAAUAUUUAGAGAUGAGAAGAACCUUUAAUAUUUGAGUCCCAACCCUUUAGUAUAAGUGCACUAAUAAAAUGAAUAUUUAGAUAUGUUGGUACAGAAUUUAAUCUUCGUAAUAAUACUAAGAUUGUUAAAAUAAUAUUAACCAUCUAGCAUAAACCAAGAGACUGCUUUUUUACUUCUGAGAUGCUCACAAGUCACAAACACUCUAUAUAGAAUAGUUUGUGACCACAAACCACUGACUUUGAUAAUUACCAUGUUUUAGAAAGAUUUUUUUUAAUGUCAACAUUGUUCCUCUUCUUUGAGGGUGUUCUAUCCUGGUGGCGCCUAAGCUACACCUCUACUCUGAAAAUGAUGCAAUCGUUACCAAAUAUAGUAACCCAACAAAAGUUGGGGUCGAGUCCCACGGGAAGACGUGGAAUCAUAGCUCUUAGUUUUUUAAUCAACGGGCAGAACUGGAAAAGUAAAUGGGGGGUUUUGAAUAGCAAUAUCGAACAAGUAGCGAAUAUCAACUUCGAUUGUAACCAGUCAUAGGUGAAUAUUAGGAUUGUGUUCCCUCUGUCUUCUCAACUUCAUAGGCUUAUCGUGCUUUGCUAAACCAACCUGAUACCUUGCAUGCAGAAUCAAUUAGUUAUGUACCUUAUACAAUCUUUUGGACGAGCAGAAGGAUCUCACCCUUUAUCUUUUGUGUCUUAAGAUGUUGCCUUACUAACACUUAUCUUGAUCUCAAUUAACUAUUACCUUUUGAGUUUAUAGUUAUUAGAUGAAAUUUAACCACCUUACUUAAAUAAAACCUAGUAGAGUGGAUCAACAGUUAAACUCCAAAUUACUGUUGUUAUUAUCUUUUCCUAGUCACUACUCCUUUUUUGGAGUAAGUAGAAAUAAUCUAGGCGUGAUCCUAACGUUUGCAACCGCUAAAAUAACUAUUAAAGUGAAGAUAAUACAAUACAUGCAUGGGUAUCAAUUCAGAACAGCAAUAGCACUUCCCCUACUUCGUCAAUCCGCUAGGGUUUCCAUAACCCUAGCUAAGGGUUUUUGGCCGCUCAUAAUUGUGAAGUAAUCAACAACAUUCAUGAUUGAAAGCAUAAGAUUAAAUCACAAUAAUCACAAGUAAAAAUUGAAAAUCAUAACUGAAUUAAUCAACCAAAAUCAAUACAAGAGAAUUCCAAGACCAUAAUUGAAUCUCAAAAUUAAGAUAUAUUUGUGAGUACCAAGAGUGCAUUACUUCUACUAAAAAAACAUAAAAAGUAUUUAUAGUGCAUGAGGAAACCCUAAAACCAAAGCCCAAACUAAAUAGGAGAAAAAAGGGUCGGUGGCUACAUGUGGUCUCCACAUGCGGCCUGAGGCUGCGCACAUGUGGUGACCGCAUGUGCCCAUACCAAAAAUUCCUACAAGUCUGCUCUCAGGAUUUUGGACUUCUGACACACGUUUUACCCACAUGCGGUCUACAUGUGCUACAUGCAGUCUGCAUAUUGACUUAGCAAGUGCUGAAAGUUAUUUUUUCAGUUCUUCAAUUCCCGCACAUAUUUUGGUCAUGAACAAUCCGAAAAGUGUCACGAACACCCUUUUUGAUCACAUAAGUAGCCAAAAAUAUCUUUUUCCUCUUUUUCACAAACUUAGCAUCUAAAACCUAGUUUCUUGCAAAACAUACCCACAACGCAUCAUAUCUAAUAAAAUAAUGGAGACUUGCAUAAUCUCCUCAUUUUAAGCUUUCCAUAUUAUUAAAGGACAUCAACAACCUCAACUUAGAACAUUUGCAUUUCCUCAGGCAACAAAACAUACUAAAAUAAAACAAAUAAGAUGCGAUGCUUAACUAGGAGAAUCUAAGCUAUUCAAGGCCGUCAAUCAACACUUUAAGCUCAAAUCAUAACACCCCCUCCUAUCUCACUUUUCAAAACCAACUGUGUAUAAUCAUGAAGUACAAUCAUGUGACACAACAGGAUCAAAGUAUGGCACAUUAGCAACAGACAACCAUACAUAUGUACAAGUUGCACUACCCAAACACGUAAGCAGCUAGCACUAUGACUCAUGUGCCUUCAGAACAAAGAUGUUCCACUCACUCAUAUGAAAUAAUUCAUGUCAAUUCAAGGACAUUCAAGAGACACCCACACUCAAAAGAGAAGUUCUAAUCAAUGUGUAUCGAAUACCAUAGGCUUGGCCUUAUUUUUUAUUACCUAAGCAUUCAGACAGUCAAGUUAGGAUCACUAUAGGUCUUUUAUCAACUUAUAAUGUAGGCUUCGGGAACUGGUAUUGUACAUAUGGACAUAUCAAGUGACUAAGCCUCCUUGGCACUACACUAACCUUAGGUUAUCACUUACUUGCCAAUUUCCCUUUUUAUUCUGCUCAUAUUUCUCCCUUUUUAUUUUAAAGCAUAUUCAGGUUGGAUGUGGUCUUUUAUUCUUUUUUCACUUUUUCACACUUUUAAUUUUCUUUUUUUAUCUUUUUAUUUUUUAUUUUUUUCUACCACACCCAGCCCUAUUUUCCUUUUUUUUUAUUUGUCCCUACUUCAUACCCACUUUACAUCACACCUCUAUGAUAGCCACCCUCAACUUAGGCAAUUUGCCUGAGUUGAGGUGCACAAUGUCUAAGGAGGACUAGGGCCAAAAAAGAUUCAUUGUAAUACAAAAUGGAAAGGUGACAAGUGAAAACAAGAAAAAUAGGCUAUAAGGCUCAAAUUUAGGGAUCAAGGGAUACAAUUCACACAUGGAAGGUCAUUUAAGCUAAAAGUGGACUAAAAUAAAAAGGGGCCUAUAAUCCUUUCCUAACCGACUAUCCUUCAACCUAGGCAAUAUUAACCGGAAAAGUUAUAAAUUCAACAUACACAGGGAACUAAGUAGCAUCUCAUACACACAUGGAACAGAGUCAAUAUUACAAACUACUACUUACCUGGAUCAUGCAAUUAUUAGCAAGUGAUUAUCAUGCCCCUAGUCCUAGUGCCAUAACAAGAUCCAUAAUAUCCACAUAUAUAUAUAUAUAUAUAUAUAUAUAUAUAUAUAUCCACAUAGUUCUAAAAUACUUUUAGAGGGGUAUCAAAAAUCAAUUAAAACAUGACUACUACCCUAAAUACUUAAAAAUCUCCUAAUUACACAAAAACACACCACAACACAAUACGAAACAAAAUAAAAUACGAAAUAAAUUUUAAUCUAGACAUGCCGAUUCUACAACCAUACCACGACCGAUAGGAAAAUAAGCGUGACAAUAAAAACUUGCGGUAGCUAUGGUAUACCCCCACCCCCAACCAAAAAACUGUGCAUUAUCCUCAAUGCGCGAAAAUAAUAUAAAAGCAAGGGACGUGAGAACAUAGCUGGAAUGCAUUAAGAAUCUGUGUACCUUGGGUUGCCUCCCAAGCAAUGCCUGAUUUACCAUCACGGCAUGACUUAGUUCUCUUGGAUACUCAUACUUCACCAAGGUCCAUGUCAACAUAGAAUCUAACUUUCUCCAUGUUUCCCAUGUAUUGCUUCAGUCGCUGCCCGUUUACCUUGAACGGUAUCUCACCAUCAUGCUUUAUUUCUAUAGCACCAUGUGGGAAUACCUUAACCAUAGUGAAUGAUCCAGUCCAUCUACAUUUCAGCUUGCCAGGAAACAAACAUAGUCUAAAUUAUACAACAAGACCAAAUCACCGUGUUUAAAUAUUCUUUUCUCAAUUUUCUUGUCAUGAUACAACUUUAUUCUUUUUUUGCAUAUAGAGGAUAUCUUAUAAGCACGGACUCAGAAUUCAUCCAACUCAUUCACCUUGCUCAACCUCAGGUUUGUUGCAUCAUGCCACUCAAAAUUUAGCCUUUUCAACACCCAUAGUGCCUUAUGCUUAAGAUCAAUCGAUAAAUGACAUGCCUUUCCAUAUACUAGCUAAUAUAGAGAGGCACCUAUGGGGGAUUUAUAGUUUGUUCUAUAGUCUCACUAUGCAUCAUCUAAUUUUCUAGACCAGUCAGUCUUAUUGACAUUCAUAGUUUUUGCCAAAAUGAACUUUAUCUCUCUAUUAGAGACUUCAACUUGCCCACUUAUCUGAGGAUGGUAAGGUGUUGCCACCUUAUGCCUUACACCAUAUCUAUCAAGAAUGACUUUGAACAAGCGAUUGCAGAAAUGAGACCCAUCAUCACUAAUAAUUACACUUAGAGUGCCAAAUCAAGAAAAGAUAUUUUUCUUUAAAAAGGCAGUGACACUUCUACCUUCAUUAUCUGGAAGCAUAACUCUCUUCACCCAUUUUUACACAUAGUCAACCACUACCAAAAUAUAUCUCGUGCUAUAGGAGCUCACAAAUGGGCCCAUGAAAUCGAUUCCCGACACAUCAAAUAAAUCCAACUCAAGAAUAAGUGGCAUGAGAAUUUAUGACACCAUGAAAUGUUGCCUUGAUGCUAACAUUGGUCACAGGCUUGUACAAAAUCAUGAGUAUCUUUGUAGAUUGUAGUCCAGUAAAACCCACACUACAAAAUUUUUUAGGUUAUAUGUGCACCAUUAUGGUGACCCCGAACUGGUGAUGAAUGACAAGCUUCCAGAAUGGUCAUCAUCUCUACCUCUGGAAUGUAUCUCCAAAUCACACCAUCAACACAGUACCUAAACAGAUGCAACUUAUCCCAAAAGAACUUUCUCACUUCAUGCAUAAAUCUUCUUUGCUGCUAGAAAGAUAGGUCUUCUAGGAUAAUAUUGCUUGCCAAAUAAUUGGUAAAAUUGGAAAAUCAGGAAAUCAAAUCUUGAGAUGCCGCCAAUACCUCAUCUGAUAAAGAAAUAUCUAUCUCAAGAUCAACCCCUUGUUUCUGCAUUGUCUCCUCCUCAAGUUUGGAUAAGUGAUCUACAACCUAAUUUUCUUUUCCUUUUCGAUCCUUUACUUUAAAAUCAAACUUUUGCAGUGAAAAAACCUAACGAAUCAAUCUUGGUUUAUCAUCUUUCUUCAACAUCGUGUAUCUCAAGGCUGCAUGGUCAGUGUGAACUAUGAACAUAGUUCGAAUUAAAUAAGACCAAAAUUUUUUGAAAGCAAAAACCAUCGAGAGUAGCUCUUGCUCUACAACUAUAUAAUUUUUCUGCAUGGAGUUUAAAGUUUUGUUGGCAUAGUUGAUGGGAUGCAGAAUCUUUUCUCUCUUUUGGCCUAAGACAGCACCCAAGGCUACUCUACUUGCAUCACAAAUUACCUCAAAUGGUGAAGAACAGUCAAGAGAUACUAUAAUGGGCACCGAAAUCAAUCGUUCAUUUAGGCAUUUGAAAGUCUUAAGACAAGCAUCAUCAAACAAAAAUUUUACAUCUUUCUCUAAAAGCUUGCAUAGAGGAUUUUCAAUUUUAGAGAAGUCCUUGAUGAACCUUCUAUAAAAACCUGUAUGACCCAAAAGCUUUGUAUGCCUCUAACUAACACUAGCGGUGGCAAUUUCUUAAUUACCUUAAUCUUUACUUUGUCCACCUCAAUACCAUAUUUGAGGUGGACAAAGUGGAGAUUUUGUGCCCUGUAAUGGUACAUUCUAUCACCAUGAAGUGGCAUUUUUCCCAGUUUAGCACCAAAUUUCACUCUUCACAUCUCUACAGUGCACUGACCAAAUGAGCCGAAAUAUCAUCGAAUAAGUCCCCAACCACCGAAAAGUCAUCUAUAAAUACUUUAAUUAUGUCUUCCACCAUAUCAGAGAAUAUGGACAUCAUACAUCUCUGAAAAGUGGCAAGCAUAUUGCAUAGUCCAAACGACAUCCUCUUGAAUGCAAAGGUCUUAUAGGGGCAAGUAAAAGUAGUUUUUUCUUGGUCUUCGGGGGCAAUCAUGAUUUAAUUAUAACCCAAAUACCCAUCAAGAAUAUAGUACCAACCCCUACCUGCUAGUCUGUCUAGUAUCUGAUCCAUGACUAAUAUAGAGAGGUUGUAUUUUUGUGUCCACUUAUUCAACUUUCUGUAAUGUAUGCAGACUCUCCUAACAGUCACUGGCCUAAUUGGUACUAAUUCAUUCUUUUUAUUUGGAAGCAUUGUGAUUCCCCCUUUAUUUAAAAUGCAUUAAACUGGUCUUAUCCACUUGCUAUCUGCAAUGGGAAAAGUCAUCCCAGUAUCUAAUCACUUAAUUAUGUCCUUUUUCACCACCUCUUGUAUAUGAGGGUUAAGUCGCCUCUGAUGCUCAAUACUGGGAAUGUUAUCCGGCUCAACUUGUAUUGUGUGUAUGCAUAUACCUAGUAGAAUCCCCACAGUGUUUGCAAUGGUCCACCCAAUAGCUCUCUUGAACUUCUGCAAUACUAGUAUAAAAGUUUCCACCUGUGAUAUCUGCCGUAAUAAUUACUGGUAAGGUAUUAUUGGCCCCUAAAAUGUAUACUACACAUGAGAUGGGAGGGCCUUCAAUUCCAAUACUAGUGGAUCCUCAAUAUAUGGUUUGGUAGGAGGUGUGAUUCUAUUCUUCAAGUCCAGAUCCAGUUUUUUAGGGGCAUAUUUGUAAGAACCUAUGUUGUGUAGUGCAUUAUCCAGCUCAUUAUAUUCAUUUAUCCUAUCACUCUAAAAGUUUAUAAUUAUUGAUGUUAAUGCUUAUGUCCCUAGUCUUUCCACAAUAGGCACAUCCACUGCAACUACGUCAUCAUCCAUGACAUCUAUCAAUGUCACCACUCUCAUAUCAUCUGGUUGUUGUACUGUUAUGCAUAUAUUUAACACUAUUUUCUCAAUGUUUUAUUUAAAGGUGAUCUUCUCCAAGUCCAUAUCAAUUAACAUCCGACUAGUGGAUAAGAAGGGUCUACCCAAGAUAAUCGGAGCUUGGGUAUCCACUUCAGAGUCUAAGAUCAUGAAAUCUGUCGGAUAGGUGAAUGAUGCCACCCUUAAUUCUACAUCACACAAAAUACCCACUGGCUUCUUUAUAGAUGAAUCAACCAUCUACAGCCUUGCAGAUAUUAGCUUGAUUUCUUAUAACCCCAACACCUUUUAUAUUACUAACGACAUUAUAUUUAUUCCUGCUUUUGAAUCACAUAGAGCCCGAUUAAUAUCAAAAGGGCCAAUAGAACAUGGGGUGGUGACUGCACCUGGGUGUCCCUUUUUUUUUAUUGAUAGUGCAUGAGAAUUCGUGCUAAAUUAUUACACUAUAUCUUUUAGAUCCUCUGCAACCUAGUCAUUACUAUAAUCACUCUUAAAAUUAUCAUCAAUAUAAGUCAGCUUCUUAAACUCAACUUCAGGUGGCUCAUCAACAAUAAUAUUCCCCUUCUUCGGCUUACUAGUAGAAGGCAAAGAAUGUUCAUUAGGUGGUAAGCCACUCCUAGUGUUAAUAUCCAGAAAAUGGUCAAGUUUCGGAGGAUUAUGCACAAUGUCACUAGGAAGGGCACUUGAUUGUCUUUGGGCCAAAGUAGCAGAGAUUUGCCCAUACUGUUGCUCCAACUGCUUGAUAGAAGUUGCAUAUGACUCAGCCUUUUGGGUCAAUCCUGAAAUAUCAGCCUUAAGUUCUUUAAGGCAAGUUUCUUGGCUCUCUAGAUCCUUCAUCAGCUUAGUCAACAUUUCUUCUAUUCUUGAUUUCGCAUCUCAUCUGUCAGGUGAAAUGUAUUUAUCUUUAUCAUUAUAAUAGUUCCAACCUUGAUUUCCUUGACCUUGGGCUCUAAAACACCCUAGUAAUGAUCCAAAUACUUUGACUCCUCCUCUAACUCAGACUCAUGAACCCUAGAGGUUGCACCUUGUGCCCUAACUGCAUUGACCUUAGUAGAAUUUAUUAUUUCAAAUUGUUUGGCCAACUCACCAAUAUCUGUCUUAAUAGUGAAAUCUCCUGAGCUACAGCAUCCUCAGUUACUGUCUGCUCAUUAGAAGCUCCAAUGGCAUAAAUAGCAGAACUUCUCUCAACCUCUCGAGUUUUUCACCCUCGAUUAGUUAAUGGGAUUUGAUCCAUAAUACUCGAAUCUAUCUCCCAUCGUAAUCUCAUAAAGGCUCUUCCAAUAAUUGUGUCUGUCAUGGCUCUAGAACUGAUAGUCAGGGCUCUAUAAAAUAUCUCCAACAAGCUUGUCCCUGAGAUCCGGUGGUUAGGCACCAUGCUGAGGAUCUUUUUAAACCUGAACCAUUCCUCAUACAUAGAUUCUAAUUUCAGUUGUACAAAAUUAUAAAUCUCAUCCUUCAGCUGCAACACUCUAGAUGGAGGAAAGAAUCUAUUCAAAAAUUAUCUACGUAACUCAUUCUAUGUAGUGAUAGAUUCUCUCAGAAGUUUCCUCAGCCAUAAAGAUGCUUCUCUAGUAAGCGAGAAGGGUAACAACCACAGUCUAAGUGACUCCUGAUCUCUCUCCAAGUAUGGUAUAUGAAGUGCAGAUCCCCAUAAAAUUUGCCAGAUGCAUGUUUGCGUCGUGGAAACCCCACAAAUACACCCUUCAAGUAUAAGAGUUGGAUCAUAGCACUAGAGAUAUUAAACUUGACAUUUGGGGGUAACACAUAAGGGAUAAUGGCUCCAGUCUCUGCCGACUCAACGUAUCCUAGAUCUUCUUCAUCAUCUAUAUAUGGUUGUACAUACUGAUAUGCUGGGAUCACUUGAACAUGGGCACCUUUAGCUCUGUUCUGAUUUCCACCGAGUGCUACUUGGCGGUCUGCUUGUUGUCUCUUCUCAUCUAGCUCUGCCUCUCUAGAUACCCACUAGCUUUUUCUGAUGCCCUCCUCUCAUUUUCAACUUGAGCUAAAAGCUCACCAGUCUAUCAAUCAAUAAUAUCCUGUACUCCUUCAGGAGGAGGGGGAGAAACAUCAUCACGAACCCCUUCAGGAAUAUUAUAUCUUUUUUGUACCAUCUUCCUACUAGGUGUUUGUAUGAUCCAAUAUGGAUUCAAAUUCACUGGUACUAAAGGCUUGCCUCUACGCCGUGUACACCGGUGUAUACCCAACUAAAAAAAAUAAAAAGAAAAACCUAAAAACUGAAACAACUUCAAUUCACAAAUCAACACUGUAUUCCCUGGCAACUGUGCCAAAAUUUGAUGAUGCACAAGCUACACCUCUACUCUGAACAUGAUACAGUUACUGGCAAAUAUAGUAACCCAACAAAAGUUAGGGCUGAGUCCUAAGGGAAUAUGUGGAAUCGUGACUCUCAGCUGUUGUACUCAACGGGCAGAACUGGAAAACUAAAUGAGGGGUUUUAAAUAGAAAUAUCGAACAAAUGGUGAAUAUCAACUUCGGUUGUAAUCAGUCAUAGGUGCACACUAGGACUGUGUUCCCCCUGGCUUCUUAACUUCGUAGGCUUAUCGUGCUUUGUUGAACCAACUCAAUACCUUGCAUGCAGAAUCGAUAAGUAAUGUAACUUCUACGGUCUUUUGGACGAGUAGAAGGAUCUCACCCUUUACCUUUUAAGUCUCAGGAUGUCAUCUUACUAACCCUUGUCUUGAUCCCAAUUAACUAUUAUCUUUUGAGUCUCUAGUUAUUAGAUGAAAUCUAACCAUCUUACUUAGAUAAAACCAAGAAGCAUGGAUAGAUAGUUAAACUUUAAAUUACUAUUGUCAUUAUCAUUUCCUUGUCACUACUCCUCUUUUAGAGUAAUUAGCAAUAAUCCAAGCGGGAUCCUAACGUUUGCAACCGCUAAGAUUAACUAUUAAAGUGAAGAUAAUACAAUGCAUGCAUGGGUAUUGGUUAAGAACAACAAUAGCACUUCCCCUAUUUCGUCAAUCCAUAGGGUUUUCACAAUCCAAGCUAAGGUUGUUUAGCCGCUCAUGCUUGUGAAGUAAUCAACAACAUUCCUGAUUGAAAGCAUAAGAUGAAAUCACUGUUGACACCCAAUUUUUGCUCGCUCUUUUUCCUUUAAUUGUCUUUCUGAUGCUCCUUGGCCCUAAAUAAUUUUUCAAAAUAAAUUUAUAUUUUUUAUUUCUAUUUCUAUGAAUUUUUGAAAAGAAUAAAAAAGAGAAUUUAUUUUUCUAUCAUAUUAUAAAAUAUUUUUAUUAAAUAUAAUUAAAAUUUUUAACAUCAAUCACCAAAAAAUAUCUUUUGGUAAUCGCAUUCGCAUUCUUUCUAAUUUUAUUUUUCAGAUGAUAUUGUGACAAUAUAUAUGCAUACUUUUAUUAUAUAAAAUAUACAAGAUAUACAUAUAUUUAUUAUAUUCUUGUUUUAUACGUAUAUUCUUGUUAUUAUCAAAUUGCAAAAGAUAUUAAAUUGGAUGUUUAUACAAAUUAUAUCUGUAAUUUAUAUAUGUUAGACUAAAAAAUAAUUUCAGGUAGCAGGAAGUGUCGACAAAAUUAAUUUUUGUUAAAAAAAAAGCAUUUGGGCCAACAUUAAUCCAAUUUCAACUUCAUUUUUACUCAAAGCCCAAUUUUUAUAAGUUUCUGUCAAAAGAACCCAAAAAUUAACCUUAGACUCAGAACAAUUCCCUUAUUCGCUUCACCAUUCCACCCCAACAAAUACAAUUUAAUCUGGUCCAUCAACUUAUUUUAAUCCAAAGGUCCAAAAUUUUCAUCUAUCCUAUUAUAUACAUAUAUAUAUAUAAAAUAUUUAUUUAUUUAUUCAAAGUUAAUUCUUAAAUCGUCCGAUCAAUGAAUUUUGGCCAAUUUUGGCAAAUACUAGUGCAAUAAAUAAAAAUCAGAAACACGCUUUCUCUUCCCAAUAAAUCAAAUGCGUGUGGCCUCCCCUUUCCCACUAAAAAAUAACGUGCAGUCAACAUCACCAAUCUCCACCAACGUCCAAAACUAGUAAAAAGUCAUUAGCCCAUUUUCCCUUUUUCUUUCUUUUCUCUUCUCUCCAACCCAAAACCAGAAAUCCUAAUCUGGCCACCUUCUGCCUCCCCUACGCGAGCAUCGACCUAUAUAUACUCAGAGAUAUAGAAAUUAUAUAUAUUAACAAAAUAAUAUUAGAAAAAAUACUAGAUUAUGAAAUUGAAAUCAUAAAUUGGAUAGCACAGCUAUACUUAGAUAAUUACCCAUAAGGAUAUUAUUCAGAUUAAAAGAUGUUAGAAUAUAUUAGAAAAACUAGAGAAAAUUAAAAUAAUUUAAAUAAUGAAAUUAGUUAUAAAAAUCGAAUUAGAAAAAUAAUGGAGAAUGUUAAAGAAAAAUUAAUAUGGAUAGAAGACCUUAAAAAAAUUUAGAAAAAAGUACAUGUGAUAGUUUAUAUAAUUUUAAAAAUUCACUACGAGGAGAACAACACAAGAUAAUAAAUAACAUUGAAAAUCUAGAAUUACAUAUAUAUUACAGUACAAUUAGGAUAAAUUAUUAUACAAAAAUUUAUAAUUCUGUAAUUACUAUAGAAUAAAAUAAUAAAGCAUAUAAAUUAAUGAAUAGAUAAUCAUUAAAAAUAUUGAAACAAUAAAUUAGUGAAUAAGGGAGAAAUCAGUCCGAAUCAACCAUGAACGACUCCAAAAAUUGAAGAUUCAGAAUUCUAAUCUUUCUUUCACGCAUGUUUUCUCAAAUUGUUGUUUCAAAUCCGGACUUUGAAGUCCGGAUUUCGGUUAUAAAUAGCCAACUCUCCAUUUCCAUGAGGACAGAACUGAACUGUAGAGGUAAAACAGAGAGAUCUCAAAAAAAAAAAAAAAAAAAAAAAAAGGGAAAAGAUUUUUGAAAAAGGAAGAAAAACUUAGGGGGAUUUGGGAGGAAAACAGUGAGAAAAAAAAAAAGGAAUCGAGUGAAGGCAAAAGGGAGGAAAAUCAGUGAAGUCAAGAGGGGAAACAAAAAGGGUCGGAAAUUUGGGAUCUUUUCAGGGGUUUUCGAGUGAAAAAAAAGAGGCUCCGAAUCCGCGGAAGAAGGUUGAAAAAAUCCAUGAGAAAAUUAAGGAAAAUCCGCAAGAAAGUAUGAAAAACGAGUAAAAAAAGGGGCAGAGAAAGAGAGGGGUCUCAAAAUUGGUAACUUUCUUUUCUGAUUUUAUUCUUAAUCGAGUUUCUCGAGUCCGAGUUAGCCACCGAAUCUUGACGUGAAAGCCCCUGCUUUGAUGCAACAAAAAAGGUGCGAAUCCUUUCCCCAUUCCUUUUUGUUUUCUCUCCCCCAUCUGUCACGAUUUUUUGGGAGUGUGUGAUUUUGUUAUGUCUUUGUUGUUUUUCUGUGACUUUAUGGAUAAGAAAUUAUUUUGGUUCUAAAAAAAAUUGUUUUGCCUAUAGAUAUGCAAGUAUGAAAAUAUGUGAUUUCUCUUUGGCUUCAAGUUUAGUUGUGUUGUUGCUGGUCGUUAUUUGCGGAAUGGAUUCAUGAAUUUGAUUCCAUUUUGAUUUCCCUUUUCUUUCAAAAUAUGGUCAUCUCGUGAUUAAGAUAUAUUGACGUAUUCUGUUCUAGGUUAAUUCGAGUAAAAUGUGUGUUUUUCGAGUCCGAGUUAUGUCGAAUUCUAUUCCCGUCUAAUUCUAUGGUAUCUAGUUUUUGCAAUUUGGUACUCGGUUGAGUCCUUACUCUGGGUUUGUUGUUGCUGGUACUUGGUUGAGUCCGCUGGCUGAUUCUGGAUGUGGAUGCGAAGUAAAAUACUUUGAUAUGUUUGCUUUUGUUCAUGUAAAGUGGAGUGGGUAAAUGUUAACGAUUUGCAUACUCCCUCUAGCGAACAAAAUAACAAGGAACCAGUUGGUUUGCAAUAGUGCAAUUUAAUUCUUAACCAACUAAAUUAGUAGCCUAACUUUUGCUCCUGUUUGCAUUCAUACGGUCUUUUAGUCUUAAUUAUGUAAAAUAUGAAAAGUUCACCUCGAUUUAUUGUCAUUUGGUAUAUAUUAUGUCAUUUCUAAUUGUGUGGAGAUUGUCCCUUUCUUACUGUCUGCCCCUAAGCUCAAAUAUGAGAAUAUUGAUGGCGGUGUGGGUAUACUAUUUUAUAAUCCCGAUUCUUGACUUGAUUGAAACAGUUAUGGAAGGUCAUGUGUUUGCCAUGGGAAAUUCGCCUUACUUUGUUGCUUUUACUUUUCCUGCUCAAAAUACUGUAGGAUUUGUUCAUUAAGAUUGCUUCUCAUAAUGUGCAUCUAGGCAUCUCUUGCCGUUUUGUCAAAUGUUAAGGGUGUAAUUGAGCUUUGUGUUGCUUCAGUCGGUCACUAUAGGGGCUGUUUUGUCUUUAAAAAAUGUAUUAACAUGAUUUGGAGAAUAUUGGUGUCUUAGAAAUAUACGGAAGAGUGUACAGUGAUGUUAAGUUUAUUAUAAGCUUUUGUUGAGUGUUUUAAAAAUUCUUCCAAGUCGGUGUGACCUCUUUAUUUGUUUGCUUGAAAGGUACUCAUUUGUUCCAGUUUAAGGAUAAAUAUGUUUUGUAAAGUUAGUGGUUGCAUUCAUGUUCUCGUUUAGGAAGCUUGUUCUGGUAGAAUACUAGAGAUUGAGGCCCCAUUUGUUUUAAGUUUAUCUUUCAAAACUAAACAACUUGCUGAGGUUACCCUCGUAAUAAUUUAUUAACUACUCCCUCCAUCCCAUUUUACACGUCCUAAAUUUCCUAAUAUGGUGUUCCAUUUUACUUGUUCUUUUUUACUUAUCAAGACAAGACAAUUUUUUUUUUCAUGUUUUACCCUUUGCAUUAAUUAUUUUUUCUUUAAAUUAAAAUAUAAACAUCAUUUAAUAGGUUUACUGUAGUAAAUCUUUCAAUAGGUAUUCAUUUUCUACAAAGUGCGAAUAUGGAUAGUUAUGUUUACGGAUCGUUUGUGUAUCUUGGUUGAACAAUAAGAGGGCAUUCUUUUAUAGGCAUUGGGUAUUCUGGCAAACCUGAAAACAACUUGCAUAUCUAUAAUUCUCGGCUUCGUUUACUUGGGAUACAUGUCCAUUGCUAAUAUAUUUCUAUCCAUUUAAACUCAUCAUGUUCACUUUCAAUUUUGCGUGUGUAUCUUUAUUGGUUACUAAUCCUUACCCUUUUAUUUUUACAUAUGAACUACAUAUGAACUCGGGAGUUGGGAGUAUCGCAACGGAACUCGUCUUGACCCAACUAUUGGGUCAAUAGCUAGUAGGAUCGCAGAGCCUCGGGACUGCGUAUACUUGAAAACUCAAGCCCAUUAGGAGUCUAGUAUCUCUUAGUCCCUUCUCUUUAUUUAAUAUUCAUGUUAAGUUACUUUUGUUAAAACUUGAGACGAUAAUUAGUUAUUGUUGGUUAUUGAAAUUUUAUUGCUUUAUUUCGUUUAUAUUGCUUUAUAAUUUGCGGGUUUCCUUUGGAAUAAGAUAACAUCAUCACCCUUUUCGCAAUCACCACAUGAUUAGACAAAUGGAUUUUCUUAAAUAGAAGGGAUUUUAGUAAUUGAGAUAGUUGGCUAACCUCUCAUAAUUAAUGGUUGUACUCAAAAAUAUUUUCUUUAAUAAAAUAAAUAAGGUCGCAACCCCAACACUUUUUUUUCAAAACAAAAGAGAAGUUUUGAUAUGAUCAUACAAAUUGUUCGUACUUGUGUUUCUACGGAACCACUUAUCAAUUCCGGCUCACUUGAGUAUAUUAAAUGGUCUGAAUAUUUUAUCACAUUUUUAUUCACCCUUUUACACUAUCUCUAAAUAGAUUUUUUUGAAGUAAAAUCCCAAACGAGAUUAAAACACGAGGUACAUGUGGACACUUUAUCAUAUGCAAAAUAUUGAUUCUACUACUAUUUUUGUCCAUUCUUAACUACCCCUUUUAAAAUAUACUUACAAAUAAAUGAAUAAUUGUGUGAUAAGGGGUCGUUUGGUAGAGUGCAUUAGAAAACUAAUGCAUGCAUUAGUUUAAUAUGUAUUAUUAGUAUAUUAUUUGGUUCAUUUUUUAUUCUAUGUAUAACUAAUGCAAGUAUUAGUUAUACACUCUAUUGUGUAUUGUGGAGAGCAUUAUUAAUGUCACUCCUUUCCUAUGUAUUAGUAAUACAAAUGAAUUCAAUGCAUGUAUUAGCUUGAUUAAUAACGUAACUACCCCUCCAAUCCUUUUAAAAUAUUUUUCAGUUUCUUCUCUGUCUUUACCGAUGCAAUAACACACUUAUUUGAGAUGGCAAAAUUCAACUCAGAAGCGAUCUUAUCUAUGUGCUUGGUGAAGAGUUCAACUACUCAUACUAUUGCCUUGUUCCUAUUUUCAAAUUUAAACACAAACUUGAUAUCUGGGAACAUCUAGGAACGAUUUUUUUUUAUUUUUUUUUUUAAAAAUGUUGUAACCCAAAAGCUGGCUCUAAUCCAUGGAAAACAUUAUGAUGGCAAUUUUCUUCGAGAAACUUGAAGCAAUGCUAAUAGGCAACAAUUAUUUACAUUCAUUUUGGGGGGAAAAGAAAGAGAAGUUUUCAAUAAGAAGUGUACAAGAUUAAAGAAUAUAAAGGGUAUUUUUUAAAUAAAUAUUUUUUAAUAGAAAGGGAAAAGGCACAAAUAUACCACUGAACUAUCAGAAAUGACCCAUUUAUGUCAUCUGUUAUAAGUUGGACUCAUUCAUGCAAUCACUAUUACAAAAUCGGCCCAUCCAUGCCAUUACUUUUUAACAGAUGAUUUUUAAAAAUAGGCGUGCCACGUGGCAGCUUAUUAGAGGACCACGUCAUUUUUAUUUUAAUUUUUCAUUUUAAAAAAAAAAAAACUAUCCAUUAAAAAGAAUCCACGGAACUUUUUGAUCCAUUGAAAAUUAAUUUGAUGUAUGCUUUUAAAAUUUGAUUAAUUUUUCAUGAAUAUAUUCUUAAAACAUUCUCGUUCGAUUCGUUUUUUUUGUCAUUUUUGACAUAUUAAG
rnacentral:lncRNA from 1 species